rnacentral:rRNA from 1 species
AGAAUCAACGCUGGCGGCGUGCCUAACACAUGCAAGUCGAACGAGAAAGUGGAGCAAUCCAUGAGUAAAGUGGCGCACGGGUGAGUAACACGUGACUAACCACCCUCGAGUGGGGAAUAACUUCGGGAAACCGAGGCUAAUACCGCAUAAUACCUUCGGGUCAAAGGAGCAAUUCGCUUAAGGAGGGGUCGCGGCCGAUUAGUUAGUUGGCGGGUAAUGGCCCACCAAGACUAUGAUCGGUAUCC